rnacentral:RNase_P_RNA from 2 species
GUAGAUAGCCGGGCAAUCGCCCGCCUGUGCAAAACCCACGGGCGGGAGGAAAGUCCGAACACCUGCAAGCGCUGUGCUUCCUAACGGGAAGAAUUCCCGAAUGCGUUCGGGAGUAAGAAAGUGCCACAGAAAACAAACCGCCCCCGGCGCUCUGCGUCGGGAGGUAAGGGUGAAAAGGUGAGGUAAAAGCUCACCGCUCCGGUGGUGACAUGCGGAGGCAGGGUAAACCUCACAGGGUGCAAGCUCAUACAGGCAGUGCGCUGCUUGCCGCUAUACUGCCGGGUGGAGUGCUCGAGCCCUGAAGCAAUUCAGGGACCAGAUAAAUGAUUGCCAUCCCGCAAAGCGGGAUACAGAAUUCGGCUUACAGGCUAUCUCCGGUU